UCCUACGGGACGCAGCAGUGGGGGAUAUUGCACAAUGGGGGGAACCCUGAUGCAGCGACGCCGCGUGGGUGAAGAAGCGCCUCGGCGCGUAAAGCCCUGUCAGCAGGGAAGAAAAUGACGGUACCUGAAGAAGAAGCCCCGGCUAACUACGUGCCAGCAGCCGCGGUAAUACGGAGGGUGCGAGCGUUAAUCGGAAUUACUGGGCGUAAAGCGCACGUAGGCUGUAUGACAAGUCAAGGGUGAAAUGCCACGGCUCAACCGUGGAACUGCCUUUGAAACUGUCAAACUGGAGUAUGUGAGAGGGG
rnacentral:rRNA from 1 species